GUCACAACAAGUGGUAACCAGCGGCAUGGCGGCAGGGAGAAGAGAUGGGUGCGCGGCCGCGGGCGCUACAGCCACUACAGACGGUUCUUCAGACCGCAGUCGCUCGGCUUUUACGGUGUGUUCCAGCUGAACGACCGCUACCACUGCGACUCCGGCCACCGCCACUCCUUCAACAUCUGCCGUAAGAACUGCAGUGCCUUCACUGACGAUGACAUUACGGACGACAUCGAAUGCUUCGUGAAGUCUCGCACCUGGGUGAAACUGCUUUACCAAAGAGGCUGCGGGUACAGGAACUCCCUUUGCAACUGUACCAACUGAGCCUGAGGAGAAAAACAAAAGUCACCAAAACACAUUUUCUAGGACUGUGUGGCACACUAGAAAUAAUUUAAUAAUCUUUGUCAACAUAAAGAUUAGCUCACUCAUUCACUUUUAACUUCAUGGGGAAAUGAUGAUGUGGGUUCAGUUAGCUCUGUCCCAAAUUUGUCAAAGAUUUCUAUUAGAGACUUUCUAAAUUUUGAUUAAUUCUUGAUUUAUCUCUAAUGUCUUCUCAUUGAGUUUUAACCUAUUGAUGGUUUUAUUCAGGUUUAAGUCACUUUAUUGAUUUCCUCCUCCUAAUUUCUUAUUUUAAUGCUUGUUUUUACCUUUUUUUGCGUGCAUGUGUGUGCGUGCUCCUGUCUUCCAUUUUAGUCUUUUAUCUAUCGCUCUUUUACUCGUGUACAUUUCCAUUGUCAACCCUUCUGCCACAACUGUACAGCACUUGGUAGCAUUCCUGCUGUUUUCAAAUGUGCUACUUGAAUAAAAGUGAUUUGACUUGACUUUAAUCCA